AUCAAAAAUAAUAAGGUAAUUUAAUAUUAAAAGUCAAAAUCUGAAUAAUGUUUGUUAUAGUCAAAUUUAUAUGCUUAAUAAAUUAAAUAAAAACUGUGUCUAAGGAUAUUUAAAUUAUCUUAUAUUGUGUAAACUGUAUUCAACCNAGUGAAAGUCAGAAGAUCUUUUAAUAAAUACAAACUGCUAUGCAAUUUUAAUUCAAACAAAGCUGUGUCUAUAGGUGUACGCAAUUAGUGAUAAAUAAUGUGAAUUUCUGUAGAAAAACGUGUGUAUGAUAAUAAAACCUAUUCAUAUCAUAAAUAAAUUGAAAAUUUUUAAAAAGGAUAAAAUCAUUGGGAUUUUGAAUGUAUACAAAAUGCUAUGCAAUUUCAAAUUAAACAAAUUAUG